UGUCUUCUUAGCAGGUUCAAAGAGGAUUAAAUGAGAUGACAUACAUAAAAUGGGUAGUGCAAUGCUUGGUUCACUGGAUAUAAAAGCUCAAGUGGAUUAACUACUUCUGAGUAUUAGAGACUGAGUUGAUUCCUCCCAAAGAAAUCUUAUCACAGAUGGUUGGGAGCCACGCUGAUUAGAAUGCUAACUGUUGCAGCACUAGGACACGUUUAGAGG